UACGUAGGUGGCAAGCGUUGUCCGGAUUUACUGGGCGUAAAGAGCGCGCAGGCGGUCGUUCAAGUCGCGUGUGAAAGCCCCCGGCUCAACUGGGGAGGGUCACGCGAUACUGAUCGACUCGAAGGCAGGAGAGGGAAGUGGAAUUCCCGGUGUAGUGGUGAAAUGCGUAGAUAUCGGGAGGAACACCAGUGGCGAAGGCGGCACUCUGGGCCGGAACUGACGCUGAGGAGCGAAAAGCGUGGGGGAGCGAACAGG
rnacentral:rRNA from 1 species